GACGAACGCUGGCGGCGUGCUUAACACAUGCAAGUCGAACGGAAAGGCCCUGCUUUUGUGGGGUGCUCGAGUGGCGAACGGGUGAGUAACACGUGAGUAACCUGCCCUUGACUUUGGGAUAACUUCAGGAAACUGGGGCUAAUACCGGAUAGGAGCUCCUGCUGCAUGGUGGGGGUUGGAAAGUUUCGGCGGUUGGGGAUGGACUCGCGGCUUAUGAGCUUGUUGGUGGGGUAGUGGCUUACCAAGGCUUUGACGGGUAGCCGGCCUGAGAGGGUGACCGGCCACAUUGGGACUGAGAGACGGCCCAGACUCCUACGGGAGGCAACAGUGGGGAGUAUUGCACAAUGGGCGGAAGCCUGAUGCAGCAACGCCGCGUGCGGGAUGACGGCCUUCGGGUUGUGAACCGCUUUCGCCUGUGACGAAGCGUGAGUGACGGUAAUGGGUAAAGAAGCACCGGCUAACUACGUG
rnacentral:rRNA from 1 species